rnacentral:rRNA from 1 species
GAUGAACGCUGGCGGCGUGCCUAAUACAUGCAAGUCGAGCGAACGGACGAGAAGCUUGCUUUUCUGAUGUUAGCGGCGGACGGGUGAGUAACACGUGGAUAACCUACCUAUAAGACUGGGAUAACUUCGGGAAACCGGAGCUAAUACCGGAUAAUAUUUUGAACCGCAUGGUUCAAAAGUGAAAGACGGUCUUGCUGUCACUUAUAGAUGGAUCCGCGCUGCAUUAGCCAGUUGGUAAGGUAACGGCUUACCAAGGCAACGAUGCAUAGCCGACCUGAGAGGGUGAUCGGCCACACUGGAACUGAGACACGGUCCAGACUCCUACGGGAGGCAGCAGUAGGGAAUCUUCCGCAAUGGGCGAAAGCCUGACGGAGCAACGCCGCGUGAGUGAUGAAGGUCUUCGGAUCGUAAAACUCUGUUAUUAGGGAAGAACAUAUGUGUAAGUAACUGUGCACAUCUUGACGGUACCUAACCAGAAAGCCACGGCUAACUACGUG